rnacentral:rRNA from 1 species
UACGUAGGCAGCAAGCGUUGUUCGGAGUUACUGGGCGUAAAGGGUGUGUAGGCGGUUGUUUUAGUUUGGUGUGAAAUCUCCCGGCUCAACCGGGAGGGUGCGCCGAAUACUGAAUGACUUGGAGUGCGGGAGAGGAGAGUGGAAUUCCUGGUGUAGCGGUGAAAUGCGUAGAUAUCAGGAGGAACACCGGUGGUGUAGACGGCUCUCUGGACCGUAACUGACGCUGAGACACGAAAGCGUGGGUAGCAAACAGG